rnacentral:rRNA from 1 species
UACGUAGGGGGCAAGCGUUGUCCGGAAUUAUUGGGCGUAAAGCGCGCGCAGGCGGUCCUUUAAGUCUGAUGUGAAAGCCCACGGCUCAACCGUGGAGGGUCAUUGGAAACUGGGGGACUUGAGUGCAGAAGAGGAAAGUGGAAUUCCAAGUGUAGCGGUGAAAUGCGUAGAGAUUUGGAGGAACACCAGUGGCGAAGGCGACUUUCUGGUCUGUAACUGACGCUGAGGCGCGAAAGCGUGGGGAGCAAACAGG